rnacentral:rRNA from 1 species
UACGUAGGGUGCGAGCGUUGUCCGGAAUUAUUGGGCGUAAAGGGCUCGUAGGCGGUUUGUCGCGUCGGGAGUGAAAUCCACUGGCUUAACUGGUGGCUUGCUUUCGAUACGGGCAGACUGGAGGUAUGCAGGGGAGAACGGAAUUCCUGGUGUAGCGGUGAAAUGCGCAGAUAUCAGGAGGAACACCAAUAGCGAAGGCAGCUCGCUGGGACGGUAUUGACGCUAAGGCGCGAAAGCGUGGGGAGCAAACAGG